GGAGAAGGAGAUCCGUUCCACUCUCAAAAUGAAACUAAUCUCCCUCGUGUUUGUGCUUGUGGUGGCUGUGGCAGCAGUCUUGGGCAGCCCCGUCCCUGGCAUCCCCCACGGACAUGCUGGUUUCGGUCAUCACCAAGUCAGCAGCUUUGUCGGUCUUAGCCAACUUCCCGUCUUCGUGUCGCCCCGCCAAGUGAGCCGCGCCGAACUCUCUUACGCCAACGUGUCUCCGAUCCGCGUCGUGCGUCCUCUGGGAUUCGUGAAGACUUCCAAGAGACCGCACUACUAAUACUCUACGAGGAGCGCCACGAGCCAGUUGGAUGACCCGCAGCAGCGCUAACAAUACUGCUCAGAUGCUUCCUCUAUACGAGUAUGACCUGGUUACGAAAUGUUCUUUGUACUGAAUAAACUGCGAUAUUUUU